GGGUACGUAGAUGUAUAGCUUUGCCUGCUAUCUCUUACCCAUGUCUUUUGAGUACCUUACGUUUCCUCGGCGGGUCCGCCCGCCGAUUGGACAAUUUAAACCAUUUGCAGUUGCAAUCAGCGUCUGAAAAAACUUAAUAGUUACAACUUUCAACAACGGAUCUCUUGGUUCUGGCAUCGAUGAAGAACGCAGCGAAAUGCGAUAAGUAGUGUGAAUUGCAGAAUUCAGUGAAUCAUCGAAUCUUUGAACGCACAUUGCGCCCCUUGGUAUUCCAUGGGGCAUGCCUGUUCGAGCGUCAUUUGUACCUUCAAGCUCUGCUUGGUGUUGGGUGUUUGUCUCGCCUCUGCGUGUAGACUCGCCUCAAAACAAUUGGCAGCCGGCGUAUUGAUUUCGGAGCGCAGUACAUCUCGCGCUUUGCACUCAUAACGACGACGUCCAAAAGUACAUUUUUACACUCUUGACCUCGGAUCAGGUAGGGAUACCCGCUGAACUUAAGCAUAUCAAUAAGCGGAGGAAAA
rnacentral:rRNA from 1 species